rnacentral:rRNA from 1 species
CCCGCACAAGCGGUGGAGCAUGUGGUUAAUUCGAAGCAACGCGAAGAACCUUACCAGGUCUUGACAUCCACGGAAGUUUCAGAGAUGAGAAUGUGCCUUCGGGAACCGUGAGACAGGUGCUGCAUGGCUGUCGUCAGCUCGUGUUGUGAAAUGUUGGGUUAAGUCCCGCAACGAGCGCAACCCUUAUCCUUUGUUGCCAGCGGUCCGGCCGGGAACUCAAAGGAGACUGCCAGUGAUAAACUGGAGGAAGGUGGGAUGACGUCAAGUCAUCAUGGCCCUUACGACCAGGGCUACACACGUGCUACAAUGGCGCAUACAAAGAGAAGCGACCUCGCGAGAGCAAGCGGACCUCAUAAAGUGCGUCGUAGUCCGGAUUGGAGUCUGCAACUCGACUCCAUGAAGUCGGAAUCGCUAGUAAUCGUGGAUCAGAAUGCCACGGUGAAUACGUUCCCGGGCCUU